rnacentral:rRNA from 1 species
GGGGAAUUGUUCGCAAUGGGCGCAAGCCUGACGACGCAACGCCGCGUGGAGGAUGAAGAUCUUCGGGUCGUAAACUCCUGUCGAGCGGGAAGAAACUCACGAGGGUGAAUAGCCCUUGUGGCUGACGGUACCGCUAAAGGAAGCCCCGGCUAACUCCGUGCCAGCAGCCGCGGUAAUACGGGGGGGGCAAGCGUUGUUCGGAAUUACUGGGCGUAAAGGGCUCGUAGGCGGCCAACUAAGUCGGACGUGAAAUCCCCAGGCUCAACCUGGGAACUGCGUCCGAUACUGGAUGGCUUGAAUUCGGGAGAGGGAUGCAGAAUUCCAGGUGUAGCGGUGAAAUGCGUAGAUAUCUGGAGGAAUACCGGUGGCGAAGGCGGCAUCCUGGACCGACAUUGACGCUGAUGAGCGAAAGCCAGGGGAGCAAAC